rnacentral:rRNA from 1 species
AGUGAACGCUGGCGGUAGGCCUAACACAUGCAAGUCGAACGGCAGCACAGUAAGAGCUUGCUCUUACGGGUGGCGAGUGGCGGACGGGUGAGGAAUACAUCGGAAUCUACUUUUUCGUGGGGGAUAACGUAUGGAAACUUACGCUAAUACCGCAUACGACCUACGGGUGAAAGCAGGGGAUCUUCGGACCUUGCGCGAUUGAAUGAGCCGAUGUCGGAUUAGCUAGUUGGCGGGGUAAAGGCCCACCAAGGCGACGAUCCGUAGCUGGUCUGAGAGGAUGAUAAGCCACACUGGAACUGAGAAACGGUCCAGACUCCUACGGGAGGCAGCAGUGGGGAAUAUAGGACAAUGGGGGAAAGCAUGAUCCAGCCAUACAGGGUGGGUGAAGAAGGCAUUCGGGUUGUAAAGCCCUUUUGUUGGGAAAAAAAAGCAGCAGGUUAAUACCCCGCUGUUCUGACGGUACCCAAAGAAUAAGCACGGGCAAACUUCGU